GAUGAACGCUGGCGGCGUGCCUAAUACAUGCAAGUCGAGCGAACAGAUGAGGAGCUUGCUCCUCUGACGUUAGCGGCGGACGGGGGAGUAACACGUGGAUAACCUACCUAUAAGACUGGGAUAACUUCGGGAAACCGGAGCUAAUACCGGAUAAUAUAUUGAACCGCAUGGUUCAAUAGUGAAAGACGGUUUUGCUGUCACUUAUAGAUGGAUCCGCGCCGCAUUAGCUAGUUGGUAGGGUAACGGCUUACCAAGGCAACGAUGCGUAGCCGACCUGAGAGGGUGAUCGGCCACACUGGAACUGAGACACGGUCCAGACUCCUACGGGAGGCAGCAGUAGGGAAUCUUCCGCAAUGGGCGAAAGCCUGACGGAGCAACGCCGCGUGAGUGAUGAAGGUCUUCGGAUCGUAAAACUCUGUUAUUAGGGAAGAACAAAUGUGUAAGUAACUAUGCACGUCUUGACGGUACCUAAUCAGAAAGCCACGGCUAACUACGUG
rnacentral:rRNA from 1 species